UUCAAUUGAACAAAUCCAACUAAUGGCCAUCGAAAGUCGUUUCCUUUUAUUUUUUUGGUUGCUUUUCUUGAAUCGGGUCAUUGCAAUUUUUGUGUCGUUUUGACGUUUUUAUUACUUUUCAUGUUUUGACGUUUUGCGUGAGUUGAUAAAAUAUGGGCUUUUUGCCUCUUGUAUUUUAAGUUGGCAUUUUCCUUCCAACAAAUUAGCUUUCAAUUUCACAUAUUCCAGUUCUAAUUUCACAAUAUUAGUUGCCAAUUUUUUCCUCAAAUUACUUUUCCGAAAUACAUUAUUUGACUUUUGUAAAUCUAAUCCAUUUUAAACUCCGUCGAAAGGGCCAAAAAAUAAAGUUCAAAUCCAAUUCCAAUAAAACAAAAAUUUGUUUAAAAGAUAGUGAUAUAUAAAUUUACAAAUUAUCAUUAUAAAACAUAUAUUUUAUAUUAACUAAACAAAUAACGAAAGAAUAAAAAAAAAUUUAAAAAGAAAAGAAAAAUUUACGAGCAUGUGAAUGCAAUAGGCCUUAUAGAAAGAAAGCAGAUCGCAAGCAUAGACAGCUCUUAAAAUAUCGGCAACUAAAAGGACUGAUUUCGCUAUCGGAAUUAGCGAAUCAGCGACGUUUUGCCUUUCUCUUCUCCUUUUAAUUUCAUUCUCUUCAAAACGAAAGUAAAAAGAACAUACGAAAAGAAAAACAACAGGUUGAUAAUUGUUAUUCGUACCUCUGCUGAUUCGAAAUCGCUCAAAGCUGCAGCGAUGAUUCACGCCUUCAAAAGUGGAUUGGGG
rnacentral:lncRNA from 1 species